UUUAUCCAAUUAUUCUUUAUGAAGAAUGAUGAUGAAAGAUUUAUUAUAUUGUUAAGAUUUUUUUGAGCCGAUUAAAUUAUAGAAAAAAUGUGAGAUAAUGUAAAUGCUAGUAAGUGAAAAAAGUUAAACACGAAAGUCAUGACAACGAUCAGACAGUGGAUUGAUGUGAAUGUAAUUCAUGAUGUUGCGACAGAGACAGAUGCUUACUAAGUCUGAAAAAAGCUGGAGAACUCGUAUUAGUAGAAGAAUGCACAGAAUAAAGCUUAUCUGAUCAGA
rnacentral:lncRNA from 1 species